UAGAGUUUGAUCCUGGCUCAGGAUGAACGCUAGCGGCAGGCUUAAUACAUGCAAGUCGAGGGGCAGCAGGGCUGUAGCAAUACAGUCGCUGGCGACCGGCAAACGGGUGCGGAACACGUACGCAACCUACCCAGAACUGGGGGAUAGCCCGGGGAAACCCGGAUUAAUACCUCGUACUACCUUGGAAGGGCAUCCUUCUGAGGUGAUAGCUCCGGCGGUUUUGGAUGGGCGUGCGGCUGAUUAGGUAGUUGGUUGGGGUAACGGCCCACCAAGCCUGCGAUCAGUAACUGGUGUGAGAGCACGACCAGUCACACGGGCACUGAGACACGGGCCCGACUCCUACGGGAGGCAGCAGUAAGGAAUAUUGGUCAAUGGCCGCAAGGCUGAACCAGCCAUGCCGCGUGAAGGAUGAAGGUCCUCUGGAUUGUAAACUUCUUUUAUAGGGGACGAAACCCGGAUAUUCUUAUCCGAUUGACGGUACCCUAGGAAUAAGCACCGGCUAACUCCGUGCCAGCAGCCGCGGUAAUACGGAGGGUGCAAGCGUUAUCCGGAUUCACUGGGUUUAAAGGGUGCGUAGGAGGGCAGGGAAGUCAGUGGUGAAAUCUCUGGGCUUAACCCAGAAACUGCCGUUGAUACUCUCUGUCUUGAAUCCCGUGGAGGUGAGCGGAAUAUGUCAUGUAGCGGUGAAAUGCUUAGAUAUGACAUAGAACACCANNNGCGAAGGCAGCUCGCUA
rnacentral:rRNA from 1 species